GACGAACGCUGGCGGCGUGCUUAACACAUGCAAGUCGAGCGAGGCCCCUCCGUCGGGAUGGUGUCCUAGCGGCGAACGGGUGAGUAACACGUGGGCAACCUGCCCUCAGCUCUGGGAUAACUCCUGGAAACCGGGGCUAAUACCGGAUACGACCUCCACGGGCACCUGCGGAGGUGGAAAGUUUUUCGGCUGAGGAUGGGCCCGCGGCCUAUCAGCUAGUUGGUGGGGUAGUGGCGCACCAAGGCGACGACGGGUAGCCGGCCUGAGAGGGCGACCGGCCACACUGGGACUGAGACACGGCCCAGACUCCUACGGGAGGCAGCAGUGGGGAAUAUUGCGCAAUGGGCGGAAGCCUGACGCAGCGACGCCGCGUGCGGGACGACGGCCUUCGGGUUGUAAACCUCUUUCAGCAGGGACGAAGCGAGAGUGACGGUACCUGCAGAAGAAGCACCGGCUAACUACGUG
rnacentral:rRNA from 1 species